rnacentral:tRNA from 1 species
AAUGAUAUGCCUGAAAAAAAGGAUUAUUUUGAUAGAAUAAAUUAUACAUUUUUUUAAAAAAAUAUGUUUUCAUUA